GAUAUAUGAACUAUGAAUAGUAUUUUGUAAAGUUGACUUAGAUAACACAUCUGCACAUCCAUUUCCAGUCCUUUUUGAUGCCUAAAUUCAAUUUCUUCAGAGCAGUUAUUCUACAAAGAGAUCGUAUGAGAUAUUGUUUUGAUAUUCAAAUUUGUUUCUUGACUAUUAAGAAGAUUGAUAACUGUAAAAAUAUCUCAUUCGAAUAUGUUAUGUUUAUAACCGAAUCCCCAACAUGAGACAAGUUUGUUUUAAAAGUAAAUAAUUUUAUUUUUCUUAUAUUAUAUAAUAAAUAUAUAUUAUUUACUGAUAAUUAAAAUAUAGUUAUUCAUCUAUCACAAAUAACUAUGCAAAUAUGUGAAUCAAGUACAACAAUCAAACAACAUAAUGAUUUUCACAAAGAAAAUUUAAAAAAUAUAUUUAUGUUAUGUAGUCUUAUUUUAUAUUUUUUAAAUAAUGUAAUACAAUAUUAUACAUUAUUUUUUUAGAAUUUAGAAAUACAUAUAAUAUCUUAUCCGCGCGUAGUGCGGUUAAAAAAUCUAGUAUAUGUAGAUUCUAGAUAGUUUAAUCAUUUAAUGGAUGAAAGAACUAAGUAAUCAAAAAAAUUAUAAAGGGAAAUUGUCACUAAUACCACUUUUCAUUUAUACACUAACCAAUUAUACCACCAGAUUUUUAAUGGUCAAAAUACCAUUGUACCCUUAAAUAAUUAAACCUAAAUUACUCUCCUUCUCCCCCACGACAGAUGUCUCUCGCCGGAGAUAUCGGUAAGGUUUCUCUCGCCGGAGAUAUCAGUCAGGUUUCUCUCGCCGGAGGUAUCCUCUCCGAUCCGAUCGGUGACUGUGAGAUCGUAAUUGAGUACGCCUCUCAUUUCAGGUAACGAUGAGUGAGGGACUCAGACUGCUCUCUUCGCCACUGGUGCUUUUGGUCUAUAAAGUACAAGUCGGAGCACCAGAAAUGAGAGAGAGCUCCGAUAUUAAAUAUUUAAUCUCCCACGGAUACGAUUUAAUCAACUUACUGAACUCCAAGAACGGAUUUGACGUCGUAUCGCGCGCAAAGCUUCAACCACUCAAUAGCUCUCCACUUUGCUUGCAAUGAGGAUUUCAAUCAGAUUUAGGAAUCUAUUAAAGACUGUAAGAAGAAGCUAGAAGCUUGCAAGAAGAAAACAGAGGAAGCUUAUUCAGAUGAAUCAGCAGGAGACGAUGACAUUGAGCGUCUUCAGAAAGAGCUUGAUGAAGAUAUGGAACUAGAAAGCAAGAUAAAUGACGAGCUUAGAUAAGUGUAUAUACUUUAGUUUCUAGUCCCUUGGUUCAGUGACAAGAAAAGUCUUUGUUCUGUCUGUCAAUACAGUCGUUGCUGAUGAACUCAAAGACCUGAAUGCACAAUGGACAUCGGUUGAUGAAAAGAGGCAAUCUUUAAAGAGUAAAGACCGGACGAGUUGAGAGCUGAGAAGAAGCUUUCUAUGUAUGCUUGUGUCACAAAGGUUAUACCAGAAGCAGACGUUAAUGAUCCAUCAAAGAUAUCAGGCUGUAUCCUUAUAUGUAUGCUUGUGUCACAAAGGUUAUACCAGAAGAAGACGUUAAUGAUCCAUCAAAGAUCUCAGGCUGUAUCCUUUUUCUUUUCAUCAUCUCUCUACUUCACGAGUCUCAUUCCUUGAGUGUUUUGAAUCCUUGAUUUAAAGUAUUCAUUAGAUAUGGUUUGAGAAGUUCCAAUUAGAGACAAAUAAGAUGACGGCCUAUGAGACAUGUAUAAUGGUUUAUAAGAUGUUUAUAUUAGUUAUAAUGGUUUAUAAAUUAUUUGUAAGGAAUUAUAUAUAAUUUAUAAAGGUUUAUAAAUAAUUCUGAAGAUUUAUAGAUCAUUUGUAAUGGUUUCUAAGUUAUUUAUAUUGGUUUAUAUACACUCUGGUCUGGAUGAUCUUGCAGCAGCCUGCAAGGCAAUGGAAGGUGUAGAAGUAAUUAAUGAGAUUUGAUGUAGGAGAGAGUAAAGAAGGGUCGGGUAUGGCUAACGAAGCGGUUUUCUUUUCCAAUCUAUUCUCGGAAUGGGACUGUACUCCUUCGCCAGCCUCUUUGAUAUACCUUACACUAUUUGUAGGCUCAACAAGUUUUGAUGAACUUUGAGGAACCGUUGAAGGAUUAUGUUCGUUAUGUGCAAUCCAUCAAGGUGAUUUUCUCUAGCUUUUGCCUUUGGGAUUAGAUUCUGUUUAUGCACACUAGACAUGUCUGGACAUUAAACUCUACCCUCUUGCUUUCGUUUUGUGUAUUCAAGGCGACAAUAGCAUAACGAGGCACUGCAUUCAGGCAACAUUGUGAAUUGGCAGAAACAACAAAGUUAAAGGAAAUAAACCUGUAUGAUAUAUAUUCUGAGUCAAAUAUGAUUACUUUGGAACAUUCUAUAAACCCUUCUCUUUUACUUGCAGUGACAAACUCAUGCUCACAUGUUCUGACAAAGUAGGAGAAGCUGAGAAGGAAUACAGAGAGGUAACAACAGCAACUCCAUAUACGGUGGUGCUUAGGAAGCAACAAUAAGAUUUGAGAGGAUGGUGAAGAGAAUGAAAAGAGAUAGUGAGGUUCUCAAUGCUCAAUUAUACCUUUUCAUAAGGCCUUGUAAAACAAACUAUAAAAGAAUGAUGUUCUUUAAUAAGCAAAGAAAUGGUGGAAAGUUGGUUAAUUUGGUGAUUUAUAAACUCUUAUAAAUAGA